GUUCAGCAGGCUACGUGGGUGGGAAGGAGCCAUUGUGGAGAAGAAGCAUUUAAAGGGACAGGAGAGGGAGGCAACAUAAGAGAAAAAAGUACCUCCCAAGGUGAGAGGGGAAUGAGGCCAAGAGCACAAGUGGAGAGGUCAACCCUGGACAGGAAGGAAUAUUGAAACAGGAGAAAAGAGAGCAGAAGUGAAGGACCCAGCUGCAGGAACACCCUUCCCUUCUUGCUCACCUAAACUUACUCCUCCUGCAAAACUGGGGUCACCCAUUGCCAUCACUGUAGCCGUUCCUGACUUCUCAAAUCCAAGACAGGUCUGGUCUCUAUCUUCCAUGCGCUGCAGUCUUGGGAUCCAACAGGGAACAAGCACUAACCAUGUGCAUGUGCAUAAAACAUGGAGCACUCGGCAACCACCAAACACCCUCGGUGUUACCAGAAUAUAAGCUUCCUUUAAAACGACACUGCUGCAGUAACUAGUCUUACACUGCCAUGGGACCAGAUGACAUGCCGGAAAUAUCUAAGCUUUUCUGCCUCCGCCACUGCCUGGAUUUGGAGAAGAAGGAAAGACAGAAAGGAAAAGAUAAUGGGGGUGAGAAUCUUGCCAGGAAAGAUGCCAUAGAAAGUAUAUCCCCUUGGCUGAGAUUUGCAAGAUGAAUGGAUGUUCUCCUGGAAUUCUGGAAGAAGGAGGCUUCUGAGCAAAGAUUCAGAGAACUUGCUGGUGAAACAGUGAUUACAGAAAUGCUCCAAGUCCAGUCAACAAGAGAAAGAGAAGGGUUCCUGCUGUGGCAACGGAACUGGCAUUGAGAUGCAGGUUUGAUCCCCUGUCCAGCACAGGAGGUUAAGAAUUGGGUUUUGCUGCCUCUAUGAUGUGGGUUGCAAAUGCAGUUCAGAUCUAAUUCCUGGUCUGAGAACUUCUGUAUGUAGCAGGGUGGCCAAAAAA